AUGCAGCGACGCAGCGUGCGGGAUGACGGCCUUCGGGUUGUAAACCGUUUUCAGCAGGGAAGAAGCGAAAGUGACGGUACCUGCAGAAGAAGUACCGGCUAACUACGUGCCAGCAGCCGCGGUAAUACGUAGGGUAAGAGCGUUGUCAGGAAUUAUUGGGCAUAAAGAGCUGGUAGGUGGUUGGUCAUGUCUGCUGUGGAAACACAACACUUAACGUUGCGCGUGCAGUGGGUAGGGGCUGAAUAGAGUGCAGUAGGGGAGUCUGGAAUUCCUGGUGUAGCGGUGAAAUGCGCAGAUAUCAGGAGGAACACCGGUGGCGAAGGCGGGACUCUGGGCUGUAACUGACACUGAGGAGCGAAAGCAUGGGGAGCGAACAGGAUUAGAUACCCUGGUAGUCCAUGCCGUAAACGUUGGGCACU
rnacentral:rRNA from 1 species